rnacentral:rRNA from 1 species
GAUGAACGCUAGCUACGGGCUUAACACAUGCAAGUCGAGGGGUAACGAGAGGAAAGCUUGCUUUCCUUGUCGACGACCGGCGCACGGGUGAGUAACGCGUAUCCAACCUGCCCCCAACUAGGGAAUAACCUUGCGAAAGUAAGACUAAUACCCUAUAAUUUCCUCAGAUGACAUCUGACGAGGAAUAAAGAUUUAUCGGUUGUGGAUGGGGAUGCGUCUGAUUAGCUUGUUGGCGGGGUAACGGCCCACCAAGGCAACGAUCAGUAGGGGUUCUGAGAGGAAGGUCCCCCACAUUGGAACUGAGACACGGUCCAAACUCCUACGGGAGGCAGCGGUGAGGAAUAUUGGUCAAUGGGCGGAAGCCUGAACCAGCCAAGUAGCGUGCAGGAUGACAGCCCUAUGGGUUGUAAACUGCUUUUAUACAGGAAUAAAGUUAGCCACGUGUGGUUAUUUGUAGGUACUGUAUGAAUAAGGACCGGCUAAUUCCGUGCCAGCCGCCGCGGUAAUAC